ensembl:lncRNA
UGAGAAGAAAUAUAUAUGUUUUAAUGAAAUAUAUUUUGGAUACAAAUAAUGGAAAAUGUUUUAGUCACGAAAAGAAUAUCCCUCUAUACGGGAGGGUAAAAUAAUGUCCCUCUAUACGGGAGGGUAAAAUAAUGUCCCUCUAUACGGGAGGGUAAAAUAAUAUCCCUCUAUACGGGAGGGUAAAAUAAUAUCCCUCUAUAAGGGAGGGUAAAAUAAUAUCCCUCUAUACGGGAGGGUAAAAUAAUGUCCCUCUGUACGGGAGGGUAAAAUAAUGUCCCUCUAUACGGGAGGGUAAAAUAAUGUCCCUCUGUACGGGAGGGUAAAAUAAUAUCCCUCUAUACGGGAGGGUAAAAUAAUGUCCCUCUGUACGGGAGGGUAAAAUAAUGUCCCUCUGUACGGGAGGGUAAAAUAAUAUCCCUCUAUACGGGAGGGUAAAAUAAUGUCCCUCUAUACGGGAGGGUAAAAUAAUGUCCCUCUAUACGGGAGGGUAAAAUAAUGUCCCUCUAUAUGGGAGGGUAAAAUAAUAUCCCUCUAUACGGGAGGGUAAAAUAAUGUCCCUCUAUACGGGAGGGUAAAAUAAUGUCCCUCUAUAUGGGAGGGUAAAAUAAUGUCCCUCUAUACAGGAGGGUAAAAUAAUGUCCCUCUAUACAGGAGGGUAAAAUAAUGUCCCUCUAUACAGGAGGGUAAAAUAAUGUCCCUCUAUACAGGAGGGUAAAAUAAUGUCCCUCUAUACAGGAGGGUAAAAUAAUGUCCCUCUAUACAGGAGGGUAAAAUAAUGUCCCUCUAUACAGGAGGGUAAAAUAAUGUCCCUCUAUACAGGAGGGUAAAAUAAUGUCCCUCUAUACAGGAAGGUAAAAUAAUAUCCCUCUAUACGGGAGGGUAAAAUAAUGUCCCUCUAUACGGGAGGGUAAAAUAAUGUCCCUCUAUACAGGAGGGUAACAU